rnacentral:rRNA from 1 species
AGGACGAACGCUGGCGGCGUGCUUAACACAUGCAAGUCGAGCGGUAAGGCCUUUCGGGGUACACGAGCGGCGAACGGGUGAGUAACACGUGGGUGAUCUGCCCUGCACUUCGGGAUAAGCCUGGGAAACUGGGUCUAAUACCGGAUAUGACCUCCUAUCGCAUGGUGGGUGGUGGAAAGUAUUUAUCGGUGCAGGAUGGGCCCGCGGCCUAUCAGUCUUGUUGGGUGGGUAAUGGCCUACCGAAGGCGACGACGGGUAGCCGACCUGAGAGGGUCGACCGGCCACACGUGGGACUGGAAGACGACCGGCCCAGACCUCCGUACGGGAGC